GACGAACGCUGGCGGCGUGCGUAAUACAUGCAAGUCGAGCGAGCUUGCCUAGAUGAAUUUGGUGCUUGCACCAGAUGAAACUAGAUACAAGCGAGCGGCGGACGGGUGAGUAACACGUGGGUAACCUGCCCAAGAGACUGGGAUAACACCUGGAAACAGAUGCUAAUACCGGAUAACAACACUAGACGCAUGUCUAGAGUUUAAAAGAUGGUUCUGCUAUCACUCUUGGAUGGACCUGCGGUGCAUUAGCUAGUUGGUAAGGUAACGGCUUACCAAGGCAAUGAUGCAUAGCCGAGUUGAGAGACUGAUCGGCCACAUUGGGACUGAGACACGGCCCAAACUCCUACGGGAGGCAGCAGUAGGGAAUCUUCCACAAUGGACGCAAGUCUGAUGGAGCAACGCCGCGUGAGUGAAGAAGGUUUUCGGAUCGUAAAGCUCUGUUGUUGGUGAAGAAGGAUAGAGGUAGUAACUGGCCUUUAUUUGACGGUAAUCAACCAGAAAGUCACGGCUAACUACGUGCCAGCAGCCGCGGUAAUACGUAGGUGGCAAGCGUUGUCCGGAUUUAUUGGGCGUAAAGCGAGCGCAGGCGGAAGAAUAAGUCUGAUGUGAAAGCCCUCGGCUUAACCGAGGAACUGCAUCGGAAACUGUUUUUCUUGAGUGCAGAAGAGGAGAGUGGAACUCCAUGUGUAGCGGUGGAAUGCGUAGAUAUAUGGAAGAACACCAGUGGCGAAGGCGGCUCUCUGGUCUGCAACUGACGCUGAGGCUCGAAAGCAUGGGUAGCGAACAGG
rnacentral:rRNA from 1 species